UUUACAUAACUUGAGAAGUCAAGUAAAUGUCAAGCUCUAAAGAGCUCACUACAAAUUGACAAACAAUAAUAAAAAUAUUCAACUCCUGACAAGCAGCUUCUAGACCUCUACAUCUCAAUCUUGAAAAUCCUCACCUGCAAAAUCAACCUCUACACCAUGGAUUGGUGCACCGGGUUGUAAACAACAAACCCGAUAAAGUUUAAUAGCUCGUAUGAGUAAACCUACAUUAAAGAACUGAACCCAACAUCACAUAAAAUAAAAUUAGUAAUUCCUGCAUUAGAAACUUAGUUCAGGAAUCGCCUAAACGCAAGAGAAUGCAAAGGAGAGUAAAUAAGAAAACACAACAAUUCACAAACAAUCAAAAUCAUAAAUGAAUCCUGCAAAAAGCAUAGUUCAGGAAUUCCACUAAAAAUCACACAAUUAAGAUUAAAGAAUCUCCUGCAUUAAGCAUAGUUCAGGAGAUACUCAAAUCAAGAAAUUUAAAUGAUAACACAUAAGAACAUCACACAAUCAUUUCACCACCCUUACUUAUGAGUUUGUCAACACAUAGACAUCCCCCAUAAGUAACCAAACAAACACGUACUCAUGGGUUCAUCAACACAUAGUCAUCCCCCAUGAAGUACCGAUAGACAGACUAGAGCUCUAAACUGACCGUAACCAAUCACUCGGCCAAGGCUUGGUUCCCGGUCCACCACGAAGGCUCCUAAUCUAAUGCACACAAUCACUACUAAGGCACACACAUCCACAACUAAUGCACACAAUCAACUCACCACUUUCUAUUACUUCCCAAAAUCGGAAACUAACUUCCUCUGAUCAUAACUUCCCCAUACAAAGUCCGUUUUACGUGUGCCACGUGUCUACGAACUCGUAUCGUCGUACUCUACAACUUUCGUGAAGGAAGUUUCUCGAGAAACCCAACGAUUAAAAUGUCAACUUUAUGACCUUUAAAGAAAAGAACCGUUUCGGGUAAUUUAUGCAUCCGAACACUUCCGCUCUUCCUUCGAACCUCAAAAAUAUACUAACUUCUAACUCGAAAAUUCCCAAAUAAUAUUAGAAACUAAUAUCAAAUUUUCGAGGUAUUACAUUCUACCCCCCUUAAAGAAAUUUCGUCCCCGAAAUUUAAACUCACUGCUCCACCCAAGUGCUGCUAACUUCUCCCCUAAAAAUAGGUUCAUACUGCCAAACAAUCUCUCUCAUUUCAAAGCCUCCACAAGCAUAUCGAGUUCCCUCAAUAAUUGUCAUACGACUUCAUAGAAAAUAAAUAAAUAAUAAAUGAAUAAAAUCAAUCAUCAACGACAAACAUAACCACACUACAUUCGUUGUCUUGGUCACCUGAAGCCCGACAUGAACUCACACUACCACCCCACCUGGUGGUAACUGAACGAUUUGCGAAACACGUCCUUGCAUAUUACACUACCACUACAUUGCUAACCAUAACGCAUCACACAAACUAUACAAGAAUGUGAACUCAAACCAAAACAAUAUCUGCAUCGCAUCAUUGUCAACUCACUAUGACACUACGAGCUUUCAAAAGAACCUUGCCACACAACAGAAAUCAACACUGCUACAAGUCCAUAAAUCAUGAAGGCAUCAAAUCCACACAAAAAACUCAUUCAUACAGGAAUGGCACGCAUCACUACUCAAUAGCUGCUCUGCCAUUUCAUAACACAAUUUCAUUCAAGCCAAAACUCAACCGAUUCACAUAAAAUAGAAAAAAAAAUGUAUAUAUAUAUAUAUCUAAAUAACAUGAGAUUAUGCAAUUAAAAAAAUGACAUAGAAUUUCCACCGGCAUAACAAAGAUGUAUCAAACAUCCUACGAUGCAUAACGAUGCUCACACAACUAUCCUGCUAACUAUAGCAUAAAACAAUGACUACACAUAAAUCUUUCACAAGUCAAUAACACAUGGGCAAACUUAACUAGAGUUCAACCACUUAGAACACCACAACGAAGCUAAAUCCUAACCCCGAACAAGUCACAAAGAUCAUGACAUCAAAUCACAUACAAAAUCGCAUAGUAAAGAGUCUCUACCACCACAACAAAGAAUGAUGUAUGAGCCACAUACUAUAAUGGCAUCACAUCUACAACAGAAGUCAAACACAAGACCUUAACUGCAUAACUUGAACAAAACACAACCACAACAUCACAGAAAAGGACACACCAAAAAAAAAAAUCGCCCCUCACUCUCAUGAAAAAGAAAAGAGAACAAGGUACCUUUCACUCCUAAAUUUUGCUCACCAAUCGUAAAACCUCCAGCUUACCAAGAGGCAGCUGAAAAUGAGUUAAUCUAAGCGGUCACAAGAUCUAGAACCCGCCAACACUUCACAAGAGUCUUGUAGUCCAUAACACUCCUAGUUCCCUUGAAAUAGAGUAAUAAAGUCAAACAAGAGUUAAAUCUAGUGAUUCUUAUUCCUCAAAAGACUAAACCUCAAGAAGCGCUACCCAACACUCGCACUCCUCAUUUCAGAGCGAACCUAUGCUCUGAGAACCUAACGCUCAAGACAACACCUUAGCCUCCCGCAUACCCAAUGACAUAUCAGUACCAAAGAGUAUGAUGGGGAUCCGCUGCAGUCGGGCCAUCACUCAAAAGAUACUGAUUUUCAUCAAAUAUGCAACCCUAAGCUCUGAUACCAAACUGCCACAUCUCAAAUUUCGGAUACAUAAAACAUCCAAAUUCAAAACAUGAUAACAAAAAUAAAAAGAUCAAAUAAUACAAUCAGAUGUUUACAUAACUUGAGAAGUCAAGUAAAUGUCAAGCUCUAAAGAGCUCACUACAAAUUGACAAACAAUAAUAAAAAUAUUCAACUCCUGACAAGCAGCUUCUAGACCUCUACAUCUCAAUCUUGAAAAUCCUCAUCUGCAAAAUCAACCUCUACACCAUGGAUUGGUGCACCGGGUUGUAAACAACAAACCCGGUAAGCUUUAAUAGCUCGUAUGAGUAAACCUACAUUAAAGAACUCAACCCAACAUCACAUAAAAUAAAACCAGUAAUUCCUGCAUUAGAAACUUAGUUCAGGAAUCGCCUAAAAACAAGAGAAUGCAAAAGAGAGUAAAUAAGAAAACACAACAAUUCACAAACAAUCAAAAUCAUAAAUGAAUCCUGCAAAAAUCAUAGUUCAGGAAUUCCACUAAAAAUCACACAAUUAAGAUUAAAGAAUCUUCUGCAUUAAGCAUAGUUCAGGAGAUACUCAAAGCAAGAAUUUAAAUGACAACACAUAAGAACAUCACACAAUCAUUUCUCCACCCUUACUUAUGAGUUCGUCAACACAUAGUCAUCCCCCAUAAGUAACCAAACAAAUACGUACUCAUGGGUUCAUCAACACAUAGUCAUCCCCCAUGAAGUACCGACAGACAGACUAGAGCUCUAAACUGACCGUAACCAAUCACUCGGCCAAGGCUUGGUUCCCAGUCCACCACGAAGGCUCCUAAUCUAAUGCACAUAAGUACUAAGGCACACACAUCCAUAACUAAUGCACACAAUCACCACUAAGUAGGCACCAUUCUGCAACUAAUGCACACAUCACCACGAAUGCACCAUUCCAAAACUAAAGCACACAAUCACUACAAAGGCAACACCACAAUUACUGUACAACAAUCACCACCAAGGCACAACCACAAAUAAUGUACACAAUUAGCUCAACUUAGACAUCAUAACAAUUAUUCUUCCAAAAUAACACAUCUCAACAUAACAUGUUAUUACCUAAUCACAUGAAAUGUAAAGUACCAACAAUAAUCAUAUUUCAACAUCACAAAAUCACAUGAUCAAUCACAACGUACUUUUCACACAUACACACGUGGAUAUAAAUAUUUCAAACAAGAAUAAUCUACCAACUCUAAUUAUGACUCAUGAUCGGAAGUCCUUUUGAAAGAUUAUAUUAUUAACAGAAAACUUGUUUUCACUUACCAUGAGCCAUUGAUGAUCAAGCUCAUUUAUAUUUAAAAACAAAAUCAUUUUCUUUCAAGGACAACUUCACAAUUAGCAAUAAAAACUAUAAAGUAAACUCGGUUCUUUUAUGAACCCAUUUGAGAUUUACUCACCUUUAACUCCCACUGCGUCUUCACACACCAUAAGAACAAGCACAACACCAACUUCGUCAAUCACCUAGAAUUACACAAUUACUAACCUUAGUAACCGAAGUACUAUAGGAUAUCAAAAUAACCUUAAACUAAACCUUAGCCCAAAGAAGGAAGACCUUCCAAGGUCGUCGAACUUAACAACCAAAAACUGCUGCUUCUAAUUCCUAAAAUAGAAACUCAAAACCUUGCACAAGUCUAAGAUUAACCAAAAAGUCCUAGCAUGCAAUCCUUGCUCAAAACCAAGAAUUUCCACAUCUCAACAAGCCCACAACAACAAAAGCUAGCUGACCACAAAUACCUAAAGCUUCAAACACUACCGGACGCACUGCCACGCGCCACCACAGGUGGCGGCGAGUGGGUCCCAUGCGCCAGCCCAAAACUUCCGAAUUUGAGCAAACUCAAAACAGCAAACUUGAAGCUUGAAGCAAGGAGAGCAACUUUAAUACCUGAAAGUUCAACUAGUUCGGCCGAAAAGUGCCUUGCAACACCACCCCGAAU
rnacentral:lncRNA from 1 species